CCAUGCAGUCGAACGAUGAACCACUUCGGUGGGGAUUAGUGGCGAACGGGUGAGUAACACGUGGGCAAUCUGCCCUUCACUCUGGGACAAGCCCUGGAAACGGGGUCUAAUACCGGAUAACACUUCUGCUCUCAUGGGCAGGGGUUAAAAGCUCCGGCGGUGAAGGAUGAGCCCGCGGCCUAUCAGCUUGUUGGUGAGGUAAUGGCUCACCAAGGCGACGACGGGUAGCCGGCCUGAGAGGGCGACCGGCCACACUGGGACUGAGACACGGCCCAGACUCCUACGGGAGGCAGCAGUGGGGAAUAUUGCACAAUGGGCGAAAGCCUGAUGCAGCGACGCCGCGUGAGGGAUGACGGCCUUCGGGUUGUAAACCUCUUUCAGCAGGGAAGAAGCGAAAGUGACGGUACCUGCAGAAGAAGCGCCGGCUAACUACGUGCCAGCAGCCGCGGUAAUACGUAGGGCGCAAGCGUUGUCCGGAAUUAUUGGGCGUAAAGAGCUCGUAGGCGGCUUGUCACGUCGGGUGUGAAAGCCCGGGGCUUAACCCCGGGUCUGCAUUCGAUACGGGCUAGCUAGAGUGUGGUAGGGGAGAUCGGAAUUCCUGGUGUAGCGGUGAAAUGCGCAGAUAUCAGGAGGAACACCGGUGGCGAAGGCGGAUCUCUGGGCCAUUACUGACGCUGAGGAGCGAAAGCGUGGGGAGCGAAC
rnacentral:rRNA from 1 species